rnacentral:rRNA from 1 species
CAAUAGCGUAUAUUAAAGUUGUUGCGGUUAAAAAGCUCGUACUUGGAUUCCUGCUGAGGACGAUCGGUCCGCCCUCUGGGCGAGCAUUGACUUGACUGUGUGGUGCGGUAUCCAGGGCUUUUAUUUUGAGGAAAUUAGAGUGUUUCAAGCAGGCGCACGCCUUGAAUACAUUAGCAUGGUAUAAUAGGAUAGGACCUUGGUUCUAUUUUGUUGGUUUCUAGAGCUGAGGUAAUGAUUAAUAGGGAUAGUUGGGGGCAUUCGUAUUUAACUGUCAGAGGUGAAAGUCUUGGAUUUGUUAAUGACGGACAACUGCGAAAGCAUUUGCCAAGGGUGUUUUCAUUGAUCAAGAACGAAAGUUAGGGGAUCGAAGACGAUUAGAUACCGU